rnacentral:rRNA from 1 species
UAUUGCACAAUGGGGGAAACCCUGAUGCAGCGACGCCGCGUGAAGGGAGAAGUAUUUCGGUAUGUAAACUUCCAUCAGCAGGGAAGAAAAUGACGGUACCUGACUAAGAAGCCCCCGCUAACUACGUGCCAGCAGCCGCGGGAAUUCGUAGGGGGCAAGCGUUAUCCGGAUUUACUGGGUGUACAGGGAGCGUAGGCGGUGCAGCAAGUCAGAAGUGAAAGCCCGGGGCUCAACUCCGGGACUGCUUUUGAAACUGUUGAACUAGAUUGCAGGAGAGGUAAGUGGAAUUCCUAGUGUAGCGGUGAAAUGCGUAGAUAUUAGGAGGAACACCAGUGGCGAAGGCGGCUUACUGGACUGUAAAUGACGCUGAGGCUCGAAAGCGUGGGGAGCAAACAGG